rnacentral:rRNA from 1 species
CAUGUCUAAGUAUAAAUUCCUUGUACGAUGAAACUGCAGACGGCUCAUUACAACAGUGAUAAACUAAUAGACUUUCGGGUUUUUAACCUUUUGGAUAACCGCAGUAAAUCGGGGCUAAUACAUACAAGCGAUGGGUGACUGGCAACGGAAGCUCAGCGAUUAUUAGCAUUACUACCAAUACCUUCGGGUCUUGUGGUGAAACCGAAUAAUAUUGCAGAUCGAGGAUUUAUCUUCGACAAGUCUACUGUGUCACUGCCCUAUCAACUUUCGAUGGUACGGUAUUGGCCUACCAUGGUUGUAACGGGUAACGGGGAAUUAGGGUUCGAUUCCGGAGAGGGAGCCUGAGAAAUGGCUACCACUUCUACGGAAGGCAGCAGGCGCGCAAAUUACUCAAUCCCAAUACGGGGAAGUAGUGACAAUAAAUAUCAAUACCUAUCCUUAACGGAGGGCAAUUGAAAUGAACACAAAUUAAAACUCUUAAUUAACACAAUUGGAGGGCAAGUCUGGUGCCAGCAGCCGCGGUAAUUCCAGCUCCAAUAGCAUAUACUAAAGUUGUUGCAGUUAAAAAGCUCGUAGUUGAAGUUAAAGGUUUACUGGGCUAAAGUUAUUUGCCACUCUGGUGGUUAAAUCAACUCCAGUAUUCCUUUUUUUAAUAGCUCUGCUUCUAGCAUCUUUGAUGUUAGUUGUUUGGGCAUUUCACUGUGAGAAAAUUGUGGUGUUUAAAGCAGGCGUCUCGCCUGAUCUUUUGCAGCAUGGUAUGAUGAAACAUGACAUUUUACG